GACGAACGCUGGCGGCGUGCCUAAUACAUGCAAGUAGAACGCUGAAGGAGGAGCUUGCUCUUCUGGAUGAGUUGCGAACGGGUGAGUAACGCGUAGGUAACCUGCCUGGUAGCGGGGGAUAACUAUUGGAAACGAUAGCUAAUACCGCAUAACAGUAGAUGUUGCAUGACAUUUGCUUAAAAGGUGCAAUUGCACCACUACCAGAUGGACCUGCGUUGUAUUAGCUAGUUGGUGGGGUAACGGCUCACCAAGGCGACGAUACAUAGCCGACCUGAGAGGGGGACCGGCCACACUGGGACUGAGACACGGCCCAGACUCCUACGGGAGGCAGCAGUAGGGAAUCUUCGGCAAUGGACGGAAGUCUGACCGAGCAACGCCGCGUGAGUGAAGAAGGUUUUCGGAUCGUAAAGCUCUGUUGUAAGAGAAGAACGAGUGUGAGAGUGGAAAGUUCACACUGUGACGGUAUCUUAACAGAAAGGGACGGCUAACUACGUG
rnacentral:rRNA from 1 species